CGCUCUUUUGUGUGCAUGCCAUGGGAAAAAGAAUCUGGUGGACAAUUAAUCUGGUGCACAUGAUUUUUGCGAGCGCAAAUAUUGUAUAAGACGUGGUUUAAAAAGGCACGGAUCUUUUCUAAUAAAUGAGUAUGUCCUUUGCAGAGCCAACCAACAUGCCAUUUUCUCAUACUUCACACCAUUAUUCACUCAAUAAAAGAAGCCAUCACACCUUUGAUAUGUUGAGUACGAGAUGAGGUGAGCUAGUACUGGAAAAUAUAUGGUAGCCUUGGUUGGUGAGUGACUGAGUGCAUCUCUUCCUCUUGCUCCUGUGUGCAAGAAAGCUCCAAGCUCUAGUUCCUCAUCUAAUUUUCCUGUCUUGCUGCUCUGGUCUCGUGAAUUUCUGCAUCGUGAAAGGUUAGCUUUCUCGCUGUGCCAUUGUUAUUCUGCCCUAGUUUAUGGUUGUUCCUGUUGAUUGGGCGAUGAUCGCACCAUCCCAGCCUCUGUUUCUCGUAUGUUUUCCAGAUAAUUAGUUCUUUCACCAGUUAGUUGUUCCUAGAGGGUAUAGACUGGCCUCUGUUUUUUCACAGGGUUGAAGGAAGUGUUCUUGUUUGUGUUUGAGCCUUUGCUCGGUUGGUGAAUUUCAUGCCCCUUCUCCCUUUUCAAGGAAAAACACACACACAACAUUCUCGUUUUCCGUCCUUAGAUUUCUGGCAUUUCUUAUUCCAGCUAGAUUUCAGCGUGUGUUUGUGACUGUUUUUCUUCGCAUUACUUGAUUGGGCAGACUCUGUAUCUAGGGCACACCAUGUUAGCUUGUAGCCCUGCAAUUGUUCGGAUCACUGUUAAUACCUUGGCUACUUUUCUGAAUAUCGAUUUUUUAGAUAAUAAUUUUGUGAACACAAGAUGACAUUGAUUCCUCUACUUCCAUUAAUAUUGUGUAAAAUAGAUUAGAACACAUAGUCCGAAUCCCCCAAAUCUGUUAUUAGGACAUAUGUUUGCCAUUUUUGUCAAUUAAUAUUCAUGAAAUAAUGUGGACGGUCCAAAUGAAAUAUGUGUCGUUAUGCUUCAUGUCCAUUCCGCUCCUAUCUUUGAAAGUCCAAACUACAUUCAUCGGAGACACUAUUGUCUUUUAGUACAAAAACAGAGUGUCGUUACUCUGUUUCAACAACUGGGCUAGGGUCACAAGUUAUAUAUGGAUGACAUUGUUGAUGCAUUGCUUCUCAAGCUUCACUCAAAGAUAUGUUAUCAUAGGGAUGCCAGUGUCGACUACCUGGAAAUCAAGGCCACGGUUGAUAAACUCGUAGAGGCGAACAAAAGGCUCAAGGAUGAGAAAGUGGACUUCCAGGAUGUCAUUAAUAUGGUCACAGAAGACAAGGAGAAUUUGCAGCAUGACUGUCAAGGUUUGUGAUCUUUAGUAAUCAAGGAGCGGGUGGCAAAAAAGGAGGAGCAACUUGAAACUGUAAAGAAGGAACUUGAAGAAGCAAAACAUGAACAUGUGGCAGCAAAGAAGGAGCUUGAGGAAGAAAAACUUGGCCAUGUGGCAACAAAGAAGGAGCUUGCGGCGGCACACCAACAACUUGCUCAAAGGAACGAAGAGCUGGAGAUUUUAAGGAAGAAGCUUCAAGAGAGUGAACAUGUACCUUCCAAAAGGGUAACAAGAUCUGCACAUAAACGGCAAAUGCUACUCAAAGGAUCGCUGAGCAAUGAUGCGGAUGGACAUCGCCCAAAGAAACAUAAGUCCUAUCAGCAUGCAAGCCAUACACUCUAAUACAGGUCGAGGUGGAACAGUGUGUGCUAGCAGUUGCAAGUGAGGAAGGAAGCCAUCGUCGUAGCAGGCCAUGACUAACACUAGCAACUAGCAAGCAUGCAAGAAAGCUACUAUGUUAGCUACCUAUGACGCUGGUGUUGAAUAGUGUUAUAAUCCCGUUUCAUGUAUAUUUUAGAAUUUAUUUCAGAACCUUGCUGUGUAAAAAAUUUGGCACUUUGAUUCGUGCUU